rnacentral:rRNA from 1 species
AUUGAACGCUGGCGGCAGGCUUAACACAUGCAAGUCGAGCGGGGGAAGGUAGCUUGCUACUGGACCUAGCGGCGGACGGGUGAGUAAUGCUUAGGAAUCUGCCUAUUAGUGGGGGACAACAUCUCGAAAGGGAUGCUAAUACCGCAUACGUCCUACGGGAGAAAGCAGGGGAUCUUCGGACCUUGCGCUAAUAGAUGAGCCUAAGUCGGAUUAGCUAGUUGGUGGGGUAAAGGCCUACCAAGGCGACGAUCUGUAGCGGGUCUGAGAGGAUGAUCCGCCACACUGGGACUGAGACACGGUCCAGACUCCUACGGGAGGCAGCAGUGGGGAAUAUUGGACAAUGGGGGGAACCCUGAUCUAGCCAUGCCGCGUGUGUGGAGAAGGCCUUAUGGUUGUAAAGCACUUUAAGCGAGGAGGAGGCUACUCUAGUUAAUACCUAGGGAUAGUGGACGUUACUCGCAGAAUAAGCACCGGCUAACUCUGUGCCAGCCGCCGCCGUAA